rnacentral:rRNA from 1 species
AAUAGAUACCCAGGUAGUCCACGCCGUAAACGAUGAGUGCUAAGUGUUAGGGGGUUUCCGCCCCUUAGUGCUGCAGCUAACGCAUUAAGCACUCCGCCUGGGGAGUACGGUCGCAAGACUGAAACUCAAAGGAAUUGACGGGGGCCCGCACAAGCGGUGGAGCAUGUGGUUUAAUUCGAAGCAACGCGAAGAACCUUACCAGGUCUUGACAUCCCAUUGACCACUAUGGAGACAUAGUUUUCCCUUCGGGGACAACGGUGACAGGUGGUGCAUGGUUGUCGUCAGCUCGUGUCGUGAGAUGUUGGGUUAAGUCCCGCAACGAGCGCAACCCUUGUUCUUAGUUGCCAUCAUUUAGUUGGGCACUCUAAGGAGACUGCCGGUGACAAACCAGAGGAAGGUGGGGAUGACGUCAAAUCAUCAUGCCCCUUAUGACCUGGGCUACACACGUGCUACAAUGGACGGUACAAACGGUUGCCAACCCGCGAGGGGAGCUAAUCCGAUAAAACCGUUCUCAGUUCGGAUUGUAGGCUGCAACUCGCCUAC